UUUGGGCUCUCCAGGUGAAUUUUGGGGCUCCCCAGGUGCCCCCAAACCCCCAAACCACGCCCGGGUUCGCCACGAGUUUAAUGCAGGUGCAGCCAGAACAGCUCAGGUGAGACCAAGAGCGAAGCAGCAGCGCCCAGGUGAGCUCAGGUGUGCCCAGGUGAGCUCAGGUGUGCCCAGGUGAGCUCAGGUGAGCUCAGGUGUGCUCAGGUGAGUCAGUCCAGCAGCUCCAGGCAGCGACAGCCCCGAAAAAAGCCCCAAAAUUUGCUCAGAGACCCCAAAAAAGUCCCAACAUUCCUCCCCAAGAGCGAAGCAGCAGCUCCCAGGUGUGCCCAGCAGCUCCCAGGUGAGCUCAGGUGAGCUCAGGUGUGCCCAGGUGAGCUCAGCAGCUCCCAGGUGUGCCCAGGUGUGCCCAGGUGAGCUCAGGUGUGCCCAGGUGAGUCAUUCCAGCAGCUCCAGGCAGCGACAGCCCCAAAAAAAGCCCCAAAAGUUGCUCAGAGACCCCAAAAAAACCCCAAAAAUUCCUCCCCAUGAGCGAAGCAGCAGCUCCCAGGUGAGCCCAGGUGAGCCCAGGUGAGCUCAGGUGUGCCCAGGUGAGCCCAGGUGCGCCCAGGUGAGCUCAGGUGAGUCAGUCCAGCAGCUCCAGGCAGCGACAGCCCCAAAAAAAGCCCCAAAAUUUGCUCAGAGACCCCAAAAAAACCCAAAAAAUUCCCCCCCAUGAGCGAAGCAGCAGCUCCCAGGUGAGCCCAGGUGUGCCCAGGUGAGCCCAGGUGAGCUCAGCAGCGCCCAGGUGUGCCCAGGUGAGCUCAGGUGUGCCCAGGUGAGCCCAGCAGCUCCCAGGUGAGCCCAGGUGAGCUCAGGUGUGCCCAGGUGUGCCCAGGUGAGCUCAGGUGUGCCCAGGUUAGUCAGUCCAGCAGCUCCAGGCAGCGACAGCCCCGAAAAAAGCCCCAAAAUUUGCUCAGAGACUCCAAAAAAACCCCCAAAAUUCCUCCCCAUGAGCGAAGCAGCAGCGCCCAGGUGUGCCCAGGUGUGCCCAGG